rnacentral:rRNA from 1 species
GACGAACGCUGGCGGCGUGCUUAACACAUGCAAGUCGAACGCUGAAGCUCAGCUUUUGUUGGGUGGAUGAGUGGCGAACGGGUGAGUAACACGUGAGUAACCUGCCCCCUUCUUUGGGAUAACGCCCGGAAACGGGUGCUAAUACUGGAUAUUCACUGGUCUUCGCAUGGGGGUUGGUGGAAAGGGUUUUUCUGGUGGGGGAUGGGCUCGCGGCCUAUCAGCUUGUUGGUGGGGUGAUGGCCUACCAAGGCUUUGACGGGUAGCCGGCCUGAGAGGGUGACCGGUCACAUUGGGACUGAGAUACGGCCCAGACUCCUACGGGAGGCAGCAGUGGGGAAUAUUGCACAAUGGGCGCAAGCCUUAUGCAGCGAUGCCGCGUGAGGGAUGGAGGCCUUCGGGUUGUGAACCUCUUUCGCUCAUGGUCAAGCCGCAACAAUGGUUGUGGUGAGGGUAGUGGGUAAAGAAGCGCCGGCUAACUACGUG